UACGGAAGGGGCUAGCGUUGUUCGGAAUCACUGGGCGUAAAGCGCGCGUAGGCGGCCGGUCAAGUGCGGCGUGAAAGUCCUGGGCUCAACCCGGGGACGGCGCUGCGGACUGUUCGGCUGGAGUCCGGAAGAGGGUGGUGGAAUUCCGAGUGUAGAGGUGAAAUUCGUAGAUAUUCGGAGGAACACCGGUGGCGAAGGCGGCCGACCUGGUCCGGUACUGACGCUCAAGCGCGAAAGCGUGGGGAGCAAACAGG
rnacentral:rRNA from 1 species